rnacentral:piRNA from 1 species
UGAAGGGCGCAAGGUCAUGGUGGAGC